AAAAAUUAGAAAGUCAAACUUUACAUUAAAUGCAUGAAGUACGUGGCUCUAAUUGAAGGAAAAUAAUAAUUCUGGCGUGAGAUGAAAGCUAAGCCAAUUCAGUAUAAAUAGAAAAGAAGGUUCAGCUUUCAAAUCCACUCCUUCUUCCUGCCUUCUCUCAAAGGCACAACCCAAUUUUCUUUAAAGUUAUUCACCCCUAAAUUCUACAAAGCCCUGCCCCAUUUUAAGUAUGGUAGCCCCUGACUACUGAUACCCUGUCCAAGUGACGUAGGGCCCCGUAACGUAUGUCAAGGCUUUGCCUAAAUUCGUUGGGGUUCUGUCUCGUGACGUAGGGAUAAAGUAGAAUUGGGUUACUAUACUUGAUGUGGGUACACUAUAUAUUUUAUUAAAUAAUCCAGGAGUUGUACCCAAAAUAUAACAAACCUCCCGAAUAUUUUUCUGACACCCUACACUUCCUAAAAUACACCACAUAUGUGAAAACCGAGCCCGAAAUAUAAUAUAGCAUUAAAAAUAAGUGAAAAACAAGAAAUAGUAAGUUGAGGCGGGCCGCGUAGACCCACCCCAACCAUUCACGCGGGCCGUAUGAAGGUGUAACCGGAUUCCUUUGAUUUCUUAAGUCCAGGCGGGCCGCGUAAGGCCACACCGUUAGUUUACGCGGGCCGCGAGUGUCCCGAUUCGUGGCGCAGCCCGGUGAUGACACGUGUCAUCAUCGUGGCAGGUCUAGAGGAUGAGCCGGACAAGCUAGUCCGUUGACCAGGGUUGACGCGGGCCGCGUGACCCCUGUCCUUUCUUUACGCGGGCCGCGUGGGAACCAGAAUCAGCACCUAUAUAAGCAGGCAUCGGGUUUUAGUAUUCCUCGUUCAUUUCUUUUCUUUCUAAACGAAUUCUGAAGUAGUAGAAGUGAUACGCGGGUAUUAUACCCCCUAAUUAGCGAAGCUCUGCCUCGUUACUAUAACCAAGGAAUCACAAAGGAAAGCCUUAUAAUAGCAAUGUAACUUAGUGUAAAGCCAAUAGAAGCCAGCUGGAGAGCACUGAAGGCUUGGAAAAGUGGCAAUAAAGUUACCUAAAAUAAAAUAGAUGUUUUUAUUAAAUAAAAUAGGAUUUAUUCCUAUGAAAAUGUAUGUACUGAAAAACUUGGGUUUUAUCCCAUGUGUUUAAUAUAAUGAAAAGAAGGUGGUUUUACUCUGAUAAAAUA